GGGCCCGUGGCCCAGUCCGGAUAAGGCGGCAGCCUCCUAUACCUCUGGAGAAAGCUGCAAAUCGCGGGUUCGAAUCCCGCCGGGCCCG
rnacentral:tRNA from 1 species